UUCAGCCUCUGAGCAGGUCAACACCCUUGUGAGCAGAUCCAUAGCUAAGGCAGGAGUCUCCAUGUUACUGCCGUAGGACAUCCGCCAACACACAGUUCUCAUUGUUGGCAUUAGGAGAGCAAAGCUUUCUUUAAAAUAUAAGUCAUAUUUGCCUAGUUUGUAUUUUCCUACCUUAGUAACCUGAAGAUGCCUGAUAAUUUUAUUCAGAAGAGUUUUGAAAGGUCGUAUUACUUUUUCAUUUUUAUGGCUUAGCAUUCGUGACUGGUUUUGAAAGACCCAAAUAAAAAUGUUAGCAUUUUUAAUAAUUGUAUUUAUGUAUUCCUUGACUUAAUAUGAUACAUUUAAUACUUAAUAUUUAACUAUUACUUCAAGUCAUUUGAGAAAGAGAUCUGUUCAUACCUUCUUAAAAGACAUACUGCAAAGAGUUAAGUAGUGUUUACUUAGAAUUCAAGUUGUAACCACGUACUAGGCUUGUAUUAAAUGCUUUAGAGAUAUUUGAAGAGUUUUGUGGGGUUUUUCAUUUUAAAUCUUUACCAGAAAUGUGCUACUGAAUCUCUCUCCCAUUGACAACAGUUGCUUCUGGAAUACCCCUAUGACAUACAUUCUUACUGAUUGCCACAUGGUGCAGCAUUGUACAUGAGAUACCAGCCCUGGCAGAGCUGUUCUGCUGACCUGGUCAUGUGCUGCUAAGUUUUGGCUCCUAUCAUGUUGUCAUGUUAGACCAACAGGUCUCCAGCUGUAUUUGUUUUUUACAAAGCUCUUUUCCACAUUUAACUAAAUGCAUGUUGUGGAAAAAUAGCCUUUGAACUAAAACUUCAGAUUCUGUUAGAGACGGUUAUGUAAAUAUUUCAGUCCAUAUGAAACAGUCCAACUUUACUAAGCUUAUUGAAACAGGAAGGAAGUUAUGGAUUUUUGAGUAUUACUAAAUAUAAACUUCAUUUAAUUUUAGAUAAAUGUGAUUUAAUAAAAAAUGAAAUAUUAUAGGGCUCUUAGUUCCUACAAAUUGUCAAUAAUUGAUAAUUAUUAUAAUCUUUCAAUGUCCCAAUUUAGAAAAAUUCAGAGCCUUUUGGAUUUUAUAAAUUAUAUGUACUCCAUGUAAACGAACAUAAUUGGAAAAAUCCUCUUUGCUAUUAAGCUAACGAAGGUGAAAGACAACAAGCCAACGUAACCUUAAUAUUUUGAUAUCUUUUGAACAAAAAGUUUCCUCACAAUCCUUUCAGAAGCCAUUUUUAAUGAGAUAUAAGUCAAAAUUGUGAGAAGAAUUUGCAGUUAGUAAAGUCUGUAUUUAUAAAUGGUAAAGAAAAAUGCAAAACUGUCUGUUCCAAAUGUGCUACCUUUGUGUAUGUUGUAAUAGCGCAUUCCAUCUAAACAUCCUCACUGUCUGUGAUGUAGCAGGCCAAUCCCCAAAACACUCUCCUGGUGUCUCUAUAGCGUGAUGUCUGUUUUGUUGAAAUGACCAGUGAAUGAAACUGCAAUGAUCACUGGUUUAAAUAAGCAAUCAGCCUAUGAAAUUCUGUAUUUCUGAGUAUUUUUAUAGUAAUUUUGUUCUUGUGUGAAUUUUAAUGCUAUCUCUAUCUUAAUCUUAAUAUUUUGAAAUCAUAAAAUAUAAGAAAAUGUAGUAUUCUAUAUUUACUCCUAAUUUCAAAUUCCUGGUCAAAAUUACUGAAUAUCUUGAAUGUAAUUUAUUGCAAUGUUAAAGUACUGUGUAAAUGUGACUAGGAUAUUGUGUUUUUCAAAACUAAGAAAUGUUAUGUGCAAAUAAAUAUUUAUCCUACCUAAUUUUCAUGCUUAUUUU
rnacentral:lncRNA from 1 species